rnacentral:rRNA from 1 species
GACGUAGGGCGCAAGCGUUGUCCGGAUUUAUUGGGCGUAAAGAGCUCGUAGGCGGCCCUCCUAGGUCGCGUGUGAAAGCCCCGGGCUCAACCUGGGAGGCGCGCGAAACGGGGGGGCUGGAGUUCGGGAGAGGAGCGUGGAAUUCCCAGUGUAGAGGUGAAAUUACGUAGAUAUUGGGAAGAACACCGGGUGGCGAAGGCGGGCGCUCUGG